GUCCUAUCAGCUUGUUGGUAGGGUAACGGCCUACCAAGGACUUUGACGGGUAGCUGGUCUGAGAGGACGAUCAGCCACACUGGCACUGCGACACGGGCCAGACUCCUACGGGAGGCAGCAGUAAGGAAUAUUGCGCAAUGGGGCGAAAGCCUGACGCAGCGACGCCGCGUGGGGGAUGAAGGUCUUCGGAUUGUAAACCCCUUUCGGGAGGGAAGAUGGAGCGAGCAAUCGUUCGGACGGUACCUCCAGAAGCAGCCACGGCCAACUUCGUGCCAGCAGCCGCGGUAAUACGAAGGUGGCAAGCGUUGUUCGGAUUCACUGGGCGUACAGGGUGUGUAGGCGGUUUGGUAAGCCUUCUGUUAAAGCUUCGGGCCCAACCCGGAAAGCGCAGAGGGUACUGCCAGGCUAGAGGGUGGGAGAGGAGCGCGGAAUUCCCGGUGUAGCGGUGAAAUGCGUAGAGAUCGGGAGGAAGGCCGGUGGCGAAGGCGGCGCUCUGGAACAUACCUGACGCUGAGACACGAAAGCGUGGG
rnacentral:rRNA from 1 species